UACGUAGGGUGCGAGCGUUGUCCGGAAUUAUUGGGCGUAAAGAGCUUGUAGGCGGUUUGUCGCGUCUGCCGUGAAAGCCCAGGGCUUAACCCUGGGUCUGCGGUGGGUACGGGCAGACUAGAGUGUGGUAGGGGAGACUGGAAUCCUGGUGUAGCGGUGAAAUGCGCAGAUAUCAGGAGGAACACCGAUGGCGAAGGCAGGUCUCUGGGCCACUACUGACGCUGAGAAGCGAAAGCAUGGGGAGCAAAUGGG
rnacentral:rRNA from 1 species